AUCAUGGCACACAGUAUCGUAGCCAAUGAAAUUUAUCCGAGGCACGAUUAUUGCUAAAUUGAAACCAAUCAUGGCAUGUCACAAGCCCUUUUUUUGCUAAGUAAUGUGUUCUGGUGGUUUACCA
rnacentral:snRNA from 1 species